CAACCAUCAAGCCCCAGGCUUGUGUUGGGGACCUGCGGCUGCCCGCAGGCCCUGAAAACCAGUGGCGGGCUCGCUGUCACCCCGAGCGUAGUAGCAAUCACCUCGCUCAGGGCGUGCUGCGUGCACCGGCCGUUAAAGCUGCCUUCGUGCACCCCAAA
rnacentral:misc_RNA from 1 species